rnacentral:rRNA from 1 species
AUGAACGCUGGCGGCGUGCCUAAUACAUGCAAGUCGAGCGAACAGACGAGGAGCUUGCUCCUCUGACGUUAGCGGCGGACGGGUGAGUAACACGUGGAUAACCUACCUAUAAGACUGGGAUAACUUCGGGAAACCGGAGCUAAUACCGGAUAAUAUAUUGAACCGCAUGGUUCAAUAGUGAAAGACGGUUUUGCUGUCACUUAUAGAUGGAUCCGCGCCGCAUUAGCUAGUUGGUAAGGUAACGGCUUACCAAGGCAACGAUGCGUAGCCGACCUGAGAGGGUGAUCGGCCACACUGGAAAUGAGACACGGUCCAGACUCCUACGGGAGGCAGCAGUAGGGAAUCUUCCGCAAUGGGCGAAAGCCUGACGGAGCAACGCCGCGUGAGUGAUGAAGGUCUUCGGAUCGUAAAACUCUGUUAUUAGGGAAGAACAAAUGUGUAAGUAACUAUGCACGUCUUGACGGUACCUAAUCAGAAAGCCACGGCUAACUACGUG